UCCCACAGCAGCAUCUAUUUAAAAUAAAAGAUGGGCUAGGCGCUAUGGCUCACACCUAUAAUCCCAGCACCUUGGGAGGCUGAGGCUGGCGGAUCACUUGAGAUCAGGAGUUUGAUACCAGCCAGCAUGGCCAACAUGGUGAAACCCCUACUCUACUAAAAAUACAAAAAUUCCCCAAGGGUAGUGGCACAUCCUUGUAAUCCCAGCUACUUGGGAGGCUUGAACACAGAAGGCGGAGUUUGCAGUGAGCAAAGAUCACCACUGCACUUCAGUCUGGGUGACAGCGAGCAAGACUCUGUCUCAAAAAAAAAUAAAAAAAAUAAGACAACCACAAGAAUUCAUGCAGAAUAUUUUAAAUAUUCUUGUUGAACACAAUGAUUUAACUGAUUUUUCUUCAAUGAUAAUGCUCCCAAAUAUCCUAUAUGCAUCCAUGGAAAUUUAAGGAACCUGGAAUAACAUCAUCCAUGUGGAACAUCUUGAAAGAUAGUAUUUUGAUGUCAGUGAAUUACACAAAUGAAUCGACAGUCCUUGUUAAUUUACAGAGUGUGGUCAUUUUGUCCUUUAGAUUUGCAGAAUUUGUGAAGAAAAAAUACAACCUGCACACCCAAGACAAGGACAGUUCCUGCAAUGAAACUGGCUGCAUCAAAGGUAGACUUCAGCCCAGGUCGUGAGGUUGGAGUCACAGUGGUAUUUGUUGUACCUGAUGUAGUACCUGGAAGUGUAGAAAGGGAAGGCUGAGUUGUGGGUUUAACUGUAGAACUGGUUGGCACGAGACUGGCACUGGGCACAGAAAUCUGUCCCAUUCACCACAUGACAAUCACUAACUGUCGAAUUAUGUGAACAACAGCUCUCUCCUUCUUUACAUUCGAUCCAAGAGCAGGUAGUAUUGACAAUGCCAGCAUUAAAACGGGAAACACAGCUGUUUCGGCUUUCACAGAGAUGGAGUUUCACCAGGUUGGCCAGGCUGGUCUCCAACUGCUGGACCUCAGGUGAUCCACCAGCCUUGGCCUGCCAAAGUUCUGGGAUUACAGUCCUGCCCCGGGUCUGGUUGAGGGAUACAGGGAGUUCCGGCAGGCCCAGGUCCCCGCUCCUCCUGCAGCACUGCACCCGGACUCCGCUGCUCCUGGCGCUACAAGACCUGCUCGCCGAGAUCCCCGGACGACCGCCCCUGGGCAGUGGGGUCUGCACAGCGCCAAGCCUGCAUCGCGCACCCGCCAGGACCAGAGCCGCGCUACGGUGGAGUCCUGAGCGCCCCCAAGUGGUUACAUGUGCGGCACUGACCCAAACAUCCAGAAAGAGUCACCGAAAACCGCACUCCUCAGAGAGCAUCUGAAGGUAUUUGGAACUGCAAACCGUUACCAAAAAGCACGGUGUUACGGGCCCAUUGGUUGUGUUUUGAAGGGCGACCCCUACCCCUUCCCCCGCGUGGCCUAUGGUUCUUUGUUUACAGUUUAAUAAAAGUGAAAAAUGAAAUGUAGAAAUGAAUGGC
rnacentral:lncRNA from 13 species